GGGGCAGCGGCUUCAGGAGGGAAGCCCAGACGGCCCUCACCCCAGACACUUCCACCAGCUCCUCCUUUGGGGGGAUUCCCAGGCGCUCCCAGGCCAGGCGAGAGAUAUAAUCCCUCCACCUGGUCCUGGGCCGACCACGAGGUCUCCUCCCGGUGGGACAUGUCUGGAACACCUCUAAUGGGAGGCAUCCAGAAGGCGUCCUAACACCUCAGCUGUCUCCUCUGGACGUGGAGGAGCAGCGGUUCUCCUCUGAGCUCCUUACCCUAUCUCUAAGGCUGAGCCCGGACACCCUGAGGAGGAAACCCAUUUCAGCCGCUUGUAUCUGCGAUCUUGUUCUUUCGGUCAUUACCCAAAGUUCAUGACCAUAGGUGAGGAUCGGCACGUAGAUCGACCGGUAAAUCCAGAGUCUCUCCUUACGGCUCAGCUCUUUCUUCACCACCACUGAUCGGUUCAGCGUCCGCAUCACUGCUGACGCCGCUCCGAUCCGCCUGUCGAUCUCCUGACAGAUGCCAUGAGUUUGUAAAUGCUGGUACUUCAGCUGAACCAGUUUUUGUUGCAGGAUCAUGGAGACCAGAUCAGGACUAAAGUUCCCCAAACCUCAGAGUCCGACGAGGACAGUUUUAUCGCUCAAUCCUGGACUUUGACCUUCAUCUGGAACCUUUUUCUUGUUCCCUUUUCUCAGACUCUCUGUCCGUCACUGAAUGAAAUCAUGAACUCUUCAAACUUUCAGACUUUAUGAGUUUUGUGUUUCUCAGACUUCAGAGUCAGAGCUGGUCUCAGGUUCACGUCGGGUUCACUGGUUUCUAAAUCUGGAGAAAGAAGAAAAAAAGAUUUUAAAUGUCCUAAAGUCGUCCUCUCCUCGCUCCGAUUGGUCGGACCGUCAGUCUCUGUAUCUGAUGUAACUCACAGUAAGCUCCGGCUGUACGCCUGCAGGCCGCCAUCAUGGCGGGGAUCAAACACAGAGUCAGACUCGGAGCGAGGAGGAGCAGGAGUCAAGGUGAUCUGGCUCCGCAUGAACGGAUGCAAACUGAAUCUCAAAGUUUGAUUCAGAGUUUGUGAGAGAAAAGUUUAUAAAGAGCUGAAGGAAGAUCGGAUUUAUACCGGAGAGGGAUCAAGAAACCCUGAGAACAACAAACGAGGUUUACAGAGGGACCCCAGAAAACUCGACCAAAGGUGAAGCAAACAUGAGGAGAGGGAGAGAACGAGGAAAUGUAAAUGUUUGCUGAGAAAAAGGUCAGGACUGAACCCAGAAUCAUGAUCCGGUUUUAAAGAUACGGGUCUGACACAAAGACCUUUUUCAGACGGAUCAGGAGGUCCGACCGUCUGAGUCUGUUUUCACAUCUAGGACUGAUUUUCUUUGAUCCACUUCAGGUGUUUUUCAGGUCACGAACAUCUUCAAACAGCCUGAGUGUCAGCUUGUCAAUCACAGGAAGUCCCGCCUUAAAUCUUGUUAUGCAGACGACACUUUGCUGUACUUUAAAGGUGGAGUAGACAGGAAACCGUUAAAGAAGCAUCUUUUUAUUUUGUGGUUUUAAUACAAAAACUCUUCUAAUAUCAGUCAAUAGUUAUUAGUUAUUGUUAUUGAUGACAUUUGGUAAUAUAUCGAUACCUCCUCUAACCUGAUUGGUUGAGGCAGACUCUCCCCGUGUCGUUCAGGAGCCCAAACAAAGUUAGCGUGCUACAAUAUCGGACAGUAGAAACCAACCAGAAAGUUCGGAAAAUUGUCGGAAUCCUCCUUUGGCCACGACUGCCGACACAAGCAAGAAAACAAAGUAAAUACCGGAGACUCUGGAGGAAUAACGGGCGCUUAAAACGGAGGUAGACCGGACAAGAGCUAAAAAGCCGGGUCAACAUAAACGAUGGGGGACGCUUGGGGAUCUUGGUGACCCUGUAACCUUUCUGCUGGACAGGUAAACCGCUUUAACAAAGUAAGACAAGUGUCUGUAACAGAAGUGUUUCUUGUCAAACGGACCUGCUGUAGCGUGUUGUAGCGCCAUCGCUAAACUGUCCUCCCUCGGGUCCUGGACUAUGUCACUUUAUCCUCGUUGUAGAAGUCCUGCAAACAUUGUGUUUGCUGGUAGUCUGUUGGCAUCUACAGUAGCACCAAUGCUUUUGACUUUCACCUUGACUGGGCCCCAUUUGUAAUGAUCUGAAGUAUUUAUCUGCAUUAUAUCUGAAUUUAACUGGAACGAUACGAGCGAGCAGGAGCGUCUGUUUGUGGGCGGGGCUUAAGAGAGGGAGGGGAGGAGCUGAGGGGAAAACUGGUUGGAGGGGUCGAGUUUACAGUCAAGAUUUCUCCUAAAAACUGGAACUAACUCAGAUCCUGACUACAACACCUUUAAAGCGGAUAAACCUCUCCACCUUCAGAGACCCCCUCAUGUCCCUCCGUCUCGGUCCAGAUCAGACUGAGGUCCUGAAAGUCCACCCUGACUGUGUCACAGAGGAGUCCUGGUUCUUCUUUUAUCUGCUGUGAGUUUUCUCAUCAAAGGAGGAAACAGAGCAGAGGUAAUAACUGUCACUUCAUAUAAACACAUAUUUAUAUCUUCACAGAGUUCUGGUGUUGGUUCAGUCGGAGUCUCUGCAGACAAACACAGACGCUGACCUCUUCUUGGCCUCCUGUUUACCUGUGACUCACCUGCAGCAGACUGACUCAGUAACGAGCGCUCGCUCUGUUUCCAGGCCGACACGCUUCAUUUCACCGCCCCGGUCCGCUCCCCUCUCUCUUCACCUUUGUAAAUGUUAAAUCUCAUGUCUGAGAGUUUGACCUCGGGCCUGACGGCUUCACUCUGACAUUUAAACUGGAAAAUUACAGAAAAAAAAACUUCUUUAUUCACGUUUUAAAGCCGAACCAUCUUUAUUUGAGCUCCUCAGAAAACACUAACUUCUAUCGGUGACAUUUGAUGAAACAUUGAGAGAUUUUUGGAGUGAAAGAAUCAUUUUCUUGGCGGCGGCACAGCGCUGAUUUCCAGAGUUUUUUCCAGCCCAGCUCAGAACCAUCUGUGUCAUGUGGUAUAAUUAGCAGGGUAAGCACAUUUUCCACUCACUAAGUACGCUCCAUCGGCGGUAAAAAGCUCUCCACACUCAAUCAGAUGUAAUUUUAUUCAAGCUUUAGGCCGUGCUCGGUUACAGAGGAGGCGUCCUCUCGUACUCUUGAAGAACAUCAUCUCGAAGUUUGCAGAGACGCUGAGGUCAGAGGUCAACAUGAGCCCAAAUCUGCAGGCUGAACUUAUAAAUUAGUCAUGAGGAAGUUUGUUAUAUCAGGACUAACUUCAGCUCUAGUGUGAUUUCAUAUUUGGGAAUUAAAAAUCAUCUUAAAGUGGAUUUUUGUGGAGAUUGACGGGAUCUUUGUGCUGCUGCUAAAAAUACACUCCAGAUAAUCCAGCAGCUCCUGCUCAGAUAAACAACAGAAGACUGUAAUUCAGGGAGAUUAGGUCCUCGGCUCACAGUAUUAGAUAGAAUCAGGUCUAAUUGUCUCAGAUGUGGAGGAGGCAGCAGGAGGAGAAGAUUCAAGGUAGAGUUAGAAAACGUCAUCGUAGACACUGACGGGAGGGGACUAUUACCUGGAGUUAGUGUGUUUUUAUCCCUCAGUUUCCUACAAACUGUUUUUAUUUUUCUGAACUUCCACUUUGACAAUCACAUCUGAAGAAAGUCUGGACGCUGAGAGACAUGAAAUCUAAAAUUAAUAAUUAUGAGAUAAGAAGUUUAUCAUCUUUAUUGAUCCUCGAGGGGAAAGUCGAUCAAUUUUUUUCAGAUUUUAACGGUUUACAGAUUAUUUAUAAAAAACUAAAUUAGACUGAAAACAGUAAAAAAAAAAAAAAAAGACUGAUGUUAAAUUUUUAACCUGUAACGUAAAAAUCAGUAGAUUUGAUCGUCGGCAUUGAAAACAGACAGGACAGUAAACACAGAUCAAAUCAGGUUCAAACUGAACCAUGAGGAGACCGGAUAGAGACAAGGUCAAGAACCACCAGAGACUUUUCUGGACCUGAGCCCAUUAGUGGACUGAGAGGACGAGGAGAGCCGUCCUGAGGUCUGAUGGAUCAGAAUCUAAAACUCUUUUGGAAAGGACAACUGGACUUAGUUAAGUCCAGUUGUCCUUUCGACGUAGAACUGGAAAUCAUAGAUGCUGCAUCCUCGGUUUUAAACAAGAUCUUCAGGUUUAGGAGGAACAUCGGAGUUUUUCAGGGAAGACCUUCAGA